rnacentral:tRNA from 1 species
GCCCAGGUGGUGAAACUGGUAGACACGCUAGCUUCAGGAGCUAGUGCUCGCAAGAGCUUGGGAGUUCGACUCUCCCCUUGGGCA